rnacentral:rRNA from 1 species
GACGAACGCUGGCGGCGUGCUUAACACAUGCAAGUCGAACGGAAAGGCCCGCUUUCCCUUGGGGGUUCCGGGUACUCGAGUGGCGAACGGGCGAGUAACACGUGAGUUAUCUGUCGGCAAAUUGGGUAGAAACCUGGGAUACUGCCGCUAAUUCCCGCUUGGACUGCAGGGUGGGGCCUGUGGUGGAAAACGAUUUGUUGGCGGUUGGGGAUGAGCUCGCGGGCUAUCAGGUUGUGGGUGGGGUAGGGGCUUACCAGGGCGUCGACGGGUAGCCGGCCUGGGAGGGUGACCGGCCACAUUGGGCCUGAGAUACGGCCCAGCCGCCUACGGGAGGCAGCAGUGGGGAAGAUUGCACAAGGGGCGGAAGCCUGAUGCAGCAACGCCGCGUGCGGGAUGACGGCCUUCGGGUGGUAAACCGCUUUCGCCUGUGACGAAGCGUGAGUGACGGUAGUGGGUAAAGAAGCACCGGCUAACUACGUG